rnacentral:rRNA from 1 species
UACGUAGGGUGCGAGCGUUGUCCGGAAUUACUGGGCGUAAAGAGCUCGUAGGUGGUUUGUCGCGUUGUUCGUGAAAUCCCACGGCUUAACUGUGGGCGUGCGGGCGAUACGGGCAGACUGGAGUACUGCAGGGGAGACUGGAAUUCCUGGUGUAGCGGUGGAAUGCGCAGAUAUCAGGAGGAACACCGGUGGCGAAGGCGGUUCUCUGGGCCUUACCUGACGCUGAGGAGCGAAAGCGUGGGGAGCGAACAGG